UACGAAGGGGGCAAGCGUUGUUCGGAAUUACUGGGCGUAAAGGGCGCGCAGGCGGCCAGACAAGUCAGAUGUGAAAGCCCCGGGCUCAACCUGGGAAUAGCAUUUGGGACUGUUUGGCUAGAGAUCGGGAGAGGAGAGUGGAAUUCCCAAGUGUAGAGGUGAAAUUCGUAGAUAUCGAGAGGAACACCGGUGGCGAAGGCGGCCA
rnacentral:rRNA from 1 species